CAAGCACUAAGGCCGGCUGGGACACGUUAACAUUCUAUUUGUCAGUACUAGUUCCAGUCAGCUAUGGAAGAGCAGCCGAUGAUGUACAGUCCUCAGAAAUGUCCACAGCAGGGUUCUACUGUGAUGUGUUUGGCAUUCCUACUCCACGGAUUUCUUGGUUUCACAAUCUACAGCCAAUCAGCGCCUCACCUUCAGCGUUGGCAGGGAGGCUGCAGGUAUCGCCAGGCAAUUUCAAUAUGUCCAUUCAGAACCUGACGUACAGUGACAGAGGCGUGUACCAUUGUGAAGCAGAUAAUCGCGAUCCUCACUUGACAUCAGGGUCGAAUGUCACAGGGCCGCACAUGUUUCUUGAUA